UUGCGUGUGCGCGCAGUGUGUGUGUGUGUGUGUGUGUGUGAUGUGCUCGCGCACUGCUGUUGCGCAGUCAGUAAAAGAUUCUGAAGUCUCUCUCUCUCUCUCUCUCUCUCUCUCUCUCUCUCUCUCUCUCUCUCUCUCUCUCUCUCUCUCUCUCUCUCUCUCUCUCUCUCUCUCUCUCUCUCUCUCUCUCUCUCUCACUCACUCACUCACUCACUCACUGAAAAUCACACUCUGAACUUUCAACAAGAGCUAAAAACAUCAGACGAACAUUCACGAUGUCACGCGUGGCUUCACUGUGGUUCAUGUGCGGAUCUCUGUGUGCUGUGUUCACAUUUGUGCUGGUUGUUGAGGGAAGCGGCUGGACUGAGUGUUUGGAUGAGGAUGAGAUUAUUACUGAAAUGCCAAUGGAUGUUGAGCUGCCGUCGCAGUGUCUGUUAACUUGCACGGGGCUCACUUACAGACAGAUCCUGAACAGACAAAACAUACUUACUGUCCGAUUCAGAGACUCAGAUUCAGGAGAAGCAGGAGAGUUUUGCUGGGAUGUGCAAAAGAGGUGGAGUUUGUGGGAUAAAGUUUUUGUUUUACUGCCAGCUUCUGAAUCACUUCUGAAUGAAGAAAUGGUCCAGAUUCACAUCAGCUCAUCGACCCACACAGACCCGAUUCAACCCCACGACUCCGCAUCCAUACUGCCUGACGACUGCGGCCUGCGAUUCGAUGUCACUCCUCAUCUGAGACAAAAGCAGCGACAGACUGUCUGUGUCAGACUGACACGAAUCCUGAAAAACACAUUACGCUGUCCACCUUUUCUUGCCAUUAUUAGAAAUAAACACACAAAGAGCGUGACUCGUACCUGAUUAAAUCUUUCAAAUAUGAGACACAAAGAUUAAGGUCCCAAUAAACUCUUACUACGGGCUAGUAGUGUUACAGCUAUUUAUCAUUAUACCAUUAAAGGGCCAAAAUUAUGCCAGUUUUUACAAGAUGUAACACAAGGGGCUGUUUACACCUGGUAUAAAGAUGCGUUUUGGUCAGUCGGAUCAAAAGUGGACAAGAGAGACACAUUGACGUUUACACCUGGUGUUUUUAUCUGUCUCUUUUUUUCACUUUCGAUGAUUUCUGUCCUGAAUACUGAUGGGGUGGUCUGUGGAGACUGCUGUGGGCGAGUCCCUGUGCUUUUGUUAAAGUAAAAGAAAUGACGGGUUUUAAUUGACACGCACUAAUAUUAUGUCAGAGUCCGCUUUCAAAUGUUCGCAAAAUGAAAGAGGCAGAGAGCAGCUGCUUUAGUUUUAUCAAUGAAAGCCUAAAGAUGGCGCUGUACACUGUAUUCGCACUAGAAGUCAUGUCUGAUGCUAAAACAUUGUGUUAUUUCACAUUAGAUGGAGAGUAGGUGGUUUUUUGUGGCCGGUCGAAUCUGUUUUCGACUACCUCUGAAUGUGGUCAAAAGUGGACAAGCUUAAAAUGUUUUACACCCCGUUUACACCUGUCUUUAGCGUCGUCCACUUGUGAUUCGAUGGACCAAGACGUAUCUUGAUACCAGAUGUAAACAGCCUGUAAGUCUCAAGUGUGCCUAGAAUGUGUCUGUGAAGUUUCAGCUCAAAAUUCCCCAUAGAUCAUUUAUUAUAACUUAUACCACGGGUCUGUUGAAUGCUGUAUUCUGAUUGGCUGAGAAAUGUUCCGUGGGUAUGCAUUCAUUUCUGAUAACCGCACACCGUACUUGUCGAAUGUCUUAAAAAUAGGCACCAGAGCAAUGUUUGUGGUAACCGUGGUAUAAGAGGAAUAAUUGACUCCGGUCCUUUGAAUUAUACGAAAAUAAUGCACACCCGCGGUGUGCUUCGCGUCGUGCCGCAUUGCACCUUGGGUGUGCAUUAUUUUCGUAUAAUUCAAUGGCACGUCGUCAAUUAUUUCUGACAUGUCCAAAAUGACCCUAUUCUGCAGGAGCAUUAAUUCGUGCUACAACAUGCUAACUAACUAAUUUAGAAAAGCUUUUGGGUAAAAUUAACCAGUCAGUGACUGUGGGCAUGGCUUUGUCAGUAUGACGUCACAUUAACAAGAAAAUCAAAGCAGGAUGUCUAAUGAGAUUGCUCUGGUUUAAUGGGGAUUAAAAAGGAGGAGUUUUUUAUUAUUAUGUUCACACACUGCACUGCCAACAAACAUUAUUAUGUCCUAACAUCAUAAUAUAUUUGCUCUUUAUAUCAUAUGCAGGCUGGACUGUACAUGAACAAAUGCUUUAGCUGAAUACGUUAGUGGCCUUUUGAUAAGUUGUGUCUUAUGAUAAAAACUUUUUUAUUAUUUUAAUUCAAUGUCAACUAGCUUUAUUUGAAUCAGAUUUAAGAGCUUUUUAUUGUAAAAUGCUUUUGUUUAUAUAGAAAAGGCCACUUUUGUGUAUGUGGUGUGCCAUAUGAUUAAAGCACAAGAUGAUUUAUUUUUACGAACUUAUGGUUUAAAUACAACUUUGGUCAAAUUGAAUCUGCGCAUUGGCCAAUGAAAAAACAAAACUCAAAAUGACCUACUUUCUCAGUAGCCUGUAUAUAAAUAAAUGCAUAGUUAUUUUGGUAAUAAAAUUUCUAAAGGCA